UGCAAGUCAACUCAAAUCAACUCAACUUUAUUUCUAAAGCGCUUUAAAACAGCAGCCGCUGAAACAGAGUGCUGUACAAUAAACAACGAAAUAAAACAUUAAAACAAUAAAUAAAACAUACACAUAUUAAGACAGCAGCACAAUAAAACAGAAGCAGAGUCUCAUGCUGUGUUAAAAGCCAGUGAAUAAAAAUAGGUUUUAAGUUUGGUUUUCAAAACCGCCAGUGAGGGAGCCUCUCUGAUGUGCAUAGGGAGAUUAUUCCACAAUCUGGGAGCAGCAACAGAGAAGGCUCUAUCUCCUCUGAGCUUCCUCCUAGACCUCGGAACCUCCAGAAGCAGCUGAACAGCUGAUCUGAGGGUUGGUGAGGAGGGAUGAGGAUGGAUGAGGAUGGAGCAGCUCAGAGAGGUAGGGAGGGGCCAGACCAUUUAAGGCUUUAAGAACAAAUAAAAGAACCUUCAAAGCAACCCUAAAGCGCACGGGGAGCCAAUGGAGGGAGGCUAAAACAGGCGUAAUGUGCUCAUAUUUUGGAGGGCAGCAGCAGCAUUCUGAGCCAACUGGAGACGCGCUAGAGCAGACUGGCUAAGAACAAGAACCGCAUCAUCCCCAGAGUCGUUUGCCAGGAGAACAUCAUUAAAAACCCGUAGCAGUGCUGACUCCGUGCUAUGCAGAGUCUGAAAACCAGACUGAAAAACCUCCAGUACGUUGUGCUCAUCUAAAGAGGACUUCAGCUGGGCAUGAACAACUGUCUCUAAAAUUCUGGAAAGAAAGGGCAGCUUGGAGAUUGUUCUGAAGUUAGAUAAAACUGUGGUGUCGAGGCCAGGUUUCUUCAGCAGUGUUUGGACUGCAGCGUGUUUAAAACUAGUGGGGGACCACGCCAGUGGACAGACAGCUGUUAAUGACGGUUAAAACUGACUGCCCAAUACAUGGAAAAACCUCUUUUAAAAAGUGAGGCGGGAUGGAGUCGUGAGGGACCCUUUAUGUGGCCGACAGUGUCUAUGAAAAACGACAGAGUAACGGGCUGAAAUUUAUGGAGCCCAGCCGGGCAGCAGACAGAGGCAGAGGGGUCGACGGCAGGAGCUGAGAUCAGAGCCCUUGUACUAACAACUUUAUCAAUAAAAAACUCCUGAAAGUUGACGCACAGUUCGAUGGAUGCUUCCUGGCAAACCGGCUUGGGAGCAUUUAAAACUGAGUCAGUGGUAUUAAAUAAAACUCGAGGGUUGUGGCGGUUUGACUCAAUGACUCCAGCUAAGUGAGCCCUUUUGGCUUCCUUAACCACAGUCUGAUAGUCUCUCCAGCGGUCUUUUAAAAUUAAAAACGACACUUGCAGCUUGUCCUUCUUCCAGCUGCGCUCAGCUCUACCACACUCCCUCCUCACUGCUCCAGUUGCGUCGUUGAACCAGGGCUCCAGUUUUGCUCUACGAUGUGCAGUCUUUAAAGGAGCCACGGAGUUCAGAACACCUUGACAGAAUAGAAUGGAACCAUGAGCUGAGUUCCUCUGUAUCCAUAGAGGAUAAACUAGAGGGGACGCAGAGCUGAUUAAAAGCAGCGGAGAAGCGACCGGCAGAGAGAGAGUUCAAAAACCCGACAGUACCGAGCAGGAGCGCUGGAUUUAAGACCAGCACACGGAAAGCUGACAUUAAAAAUCACAGGCUUAUGAUCAGAGAAUACGUUAUCACCGAUCUCAAUAUUCGACACAGACAAUCCAUAAGACAGAACCAGGUCUAACGUGUGUCCGUGUUCAUGUGUGGGACCCGACACACACUGAACCACAUUAAAAGAGGCAAUAAGACUUAGAAAGUCCUUCACCAGCCGCUUAUCGGGACAGCACACACGAAUAUUAAAAUGCACAAUAUUUCUCCUGUCUGGAUUAAAUUUCAGAAAUACAGUUUAGAUUUACUAAAUAUUCCAGGAAUUCUUGCUCUCAGUUUGACCAUAGAAAUGAACUUGUUGUUGAGGCAGUUUGUGUUUGAGUUUUUCUGCCUCGAGCUUCAUCACCAGUGAUGUUCAGGACUCAUUCUUGUAUUUUACACUCUCUGAUGUUUUCUUUUCUUCAUGUCUAGUGUGUGAAUCAUUUCUGGUUUGUCUCUUCAGUGUCUCAUGUGGCCCUGCAGCUUCUCCUCCUCCACCUCCUCCUGAAGCCUUCAUCUUCUUCAUCAUCAGCUGCUCAGUGACUCUGUUGGACGUCUCACCGUGUGGCAGCAGCUCAGGAGUUUGCAGUCAACCAAGGCCGACUCAGAAUCACUCCCACCGGGAAGAUCUGUGAAGGAAGGUCCACCCGGCUGGUCCAGAAGCUCCGGUCCAGCAGAGCAGCGUCAGGAUGGAGACGUAACCGGGUGAGUUAACUAGAGAGGCGACACAUUCACAUAGAAAAUCCAACAAUUCCUUCUGUUUUUACAGUUUGUGACUCUGGUAAAUGGUGUCAUUUUUCAAAGCUGGUGGGUUUUGGGCUUCACAGAUUGAACCUAAAUGCUUUUCUUAAACAAACUGCUGAGCUGCUGCACAGUGAAAUGUUUGAGUGGAGCUCAGGAUGAAAGCAUCAGAGCUGUUUUACAUGUUUUUAUGUUCAGCUAAUAUCAUUUCCUCUGGACAAUGUUUGUGGUGUUAGAAGUGGACGUUUGUAGGGAGUUUUCAGUUGUGAUACUUUAAUGCAUAAAUAUUUGCAGUGGUGGUUUCACUGCAAGCAUCUACUGAUGUCACCAGUGAAGUAAAUAAAAACAGCAUUUGUUGAACUUUA